GCACAGAUUCAAUGGCCGGAUGCUUCCUGCACCAGUUUUAGGAAUUUCGCCUUCUCGAGAUCCCAAUUGAAGCGUUCACGCCCGAGCUGCCACGCGCGCUGUCGCGCACGAGCCUGAGCAGACGCGCUGCUGAAAAAGCGUUCGAUCUCGUCAGCAGUCGUUCGCGUGUCGCAAAUAGGAACGAGCAGCGCUGCGUCUCCGAGAUCCCGCGCGAUCUGAAGAUGAGCGGGAGUUGUACUAAGGACGACAGGAGUUCCGGCGAGGAGAUAGGUGAAGAGCUUAUUCGUGAGGCAAAGACCGCGGUUCGGCGGAACGUCGAGUUCGACCGAAAGUCCCAGGGAAUACCGCGCCGCGUGCGUCACCAUCUCAUCAGGUGCGGAGGAGGACAGGAAAACGAGUUUGCGCGGAGAAAGCCCAUGUUGUGACGCGAUCCCGCGCAGAUGCUCUGCGUACCCGGGUGAUGGUU
rnacentral:misc_RNA from 1 species